CCCGCGGGAGUCGCGGAGCUGCGGGUCUGACCCAGGUUGAAAGGGCCCCAGGUUCCGUGGGGAAUCCGUGCGGGAACGACGCCUAAGCCCAGCAAACGAGCUGGGCGGUGGCGUGCGGCGCCGUUAAGGGCGCUGCCGCGCGCGCUCUCAGGCCGCCCCGAGUCCUGGGGGGACUUCGAAGGAGGAUCCGCGCCUGGGGCCAGAGAACGGGGCAGACGGGGGCACUGCCGGAGGCCGAGCCGACGCAGUGUCUCCAGUCGUAGGUUGGUGCCUGGGGUCGGGGACCGAGGUUUGGGCGCUGCCUGCCUGAGCGGAGAUCCGGGUUUGCCUCCGCCCCCGCUCAGGACCCUGACGCGGGUGAGGCGGCCCCGGGAGCAUGAGCGGGCAGCGCGUGGACGUCAAGGUGGUGAUGCUGGGCAAGGAGUACGUGGGCAAGACGAGCCUGGUGGAACGAUACGUGCACGACCGCUUCCUGGUGGGGCCCUAUCAGAACACCAUCGGGGCCGCCUUCGUGGCCAAGGUGAUGUCCGUUGGAGACCGGACGGUGACUUUAGGUAUUUGGGACACAGCAGGCUCUGAGCGCUACGAGGCGAUGAGCCGAAUCUACUACCGGGGUGCCAAAGCUGCCAUCGUCUGCUAUGACCUGACGGACAGCAGCAGCUUUGAGCGGGCAAAGUUCUGGGUGAAGGAACUGCGCAACCUAGAGGAGGGCUGUCAGAUCUACCUGUGCGGCACCAAGAGUGAUCUGCUGGAGGAGGACAGGCGGCGUCGACGUGUGGACUUCCACGACGUCCAGGACUAUGCAGACAAUAUCAAAGCUCAGCUCUUUGAAACAUCCAGCAAGACAGGCCAGAGUGUGGACGAGCUCUUCCAGAAAGUGGCAGAGGAUUACGUCAGUGUGGCUGCCUUCCAGGUGAUGACAGGGGAAGCUGCCAGGACCAGACUUCCUUCCUGCCAUUCUGUUCUCAUGAUGUGACGUGGGAGUCCAGCUCCAGUAAGUAGAUGCUGCUGAGCCUGGAAAAGGAUCGCUGAUGCACUUCGUGCCCUGACUGUAGUGUGGGGUAGAGAAUGUGAAGAUAAAAUAAUUAUUUCCAUCAAUGCUAAAGAUGCAGAUUUGGUAGUUUUUCAUUAGAGGAUCAACACAGUGAUUUAAAUCACCUCAAACUCAGUAACUUCAGGGGGAAGCAGACAUUUAAAAACCUGGGAUGCUUCUGUAGCAAUGACAGCUAUUUUGCUAUUACAAUGGGUUUGCUCCAGGAGAAGCAAAUGAGGCUUUGAAUUCAAAUUUCAACAGUUUUUCUGACUUAACAGGGCUAGGAGACAUAUUGGUUCUUUAGCUACCUAUGGAAGCCAGCCAUGGCUUCCCCCUCUGAAACAUUUCCUGAGGACUGGCUUAGAGGCAGACGCUUUUGAGAUCCUGAUUUCCAGGCCCUUGGCCAAAUACCAAAAUACCAUCCUGCACAAAGAUCAGGAGUUUCUAAGAGAAAAGCUUUCAACUGCCAAUUCACGCCCUCUGGAAAAAAGGUCUCAGUACAAGACUCCACGAGAGUCCCCAAGGGCUGGCAAGGUCACUCCCUCACCACUGUCCUUCAUGCAAGGGUCUCAAUUUCCCAACAGUCCAGUCCUUCUAACUCUGCUUCUAAUUGUAUGGUGACUGCUUUCAUGAUGUUAACAAUCUGGUAUCAGAUGCUGCUAUCAGUGGACCUGAUAGCUCAAUUUCUAGUUUCCAUUCCACCUAAGAGUCUUUCAGUAACCCUCACAAAAGCCUGGCUGUCCAUCCAUUUAGAUAAAGAACUGUCACCAUCCCCCACCCCAAGCACAACUCAAAAGUUGUUUUCCCAGGCAAGUCUGGAAGGAAGUUUCCAGUAAAUGGUGGAGAAUGGAAAGAACCAAAACAAAAUCACAAAGUGGCCAAUCAUGGCCCACCUUUCCCUUAACUCCUUGUCCUAGAGCGGCUGUCAAGUCAAUUACCUACCAAAGCCUACUUCAGAGAAGCUAUUUAAGGAUCAAACUUCUCCACUUAAAAUUUUUUUACAUAGCCUGCACAUACCCCGCCCCCCCCCAAAUUCACAGUUUAUUUCAUGAAACAAAGAGCUACGGUAAUUUAACACACAACAUAGUGAAAGGAGAUUCUGACAGUGCAGUGCGAAUAUCUUUUUCUGAUCACAACUACUGAUGACAGGAGAGAAAAGGGCACAGGACUGGCACCAAGCAAACCCUACUCAUACAGCCUAAGAGAUUAGGGAAAGGGACCUACUAGCUGCAGUUAUAUACUUAUUAUUCUCACACAUGAUAAAUACUUAAUAUAGUGAACUUUAAUGUUCUGGGUGGAUUUCUUUAAAAAUAUCUUUUCCAUGGUUUAAAAUUUUUUUUAAAAGAAAAUAAGAUGCUUUGUUUUCUCUUCCUUUUGAAUAAAGAGCAUUUCCUCUCUCAUGAUGUGGGAAGAGAGGAUGAAAAGGGGAGAACUAGGCAGGUGGAAUUUACAGAGGAGAUUCCGAGGUCUAAGUGAGAUGCAGAGGUAUGCCCCUAAACUUGGGACAGCCCUGCCCAGCCUCGUACCUCUGCCUGAGUUCAAGUGUCUCAUCCCGAGACAGACUUUGGGAAAUAGAUGCAAAUUCUUCUUUUAAUCUUUAUAUAAAGCGCAAAUGCUUCUGUAACUAUUGUUCCCUCCUUAGAAAUGAUAUGGGUAACCUCAAUAGGAACUUAGGAGGAGGAAAUUGGGACAAAAUACAGAAUCCUGUUGAGGGUGUAAAAGCCAUAACUGAGACAGAAUGGCCGGGAGACAUUUGGGCCAGGAGAUGGCCUGUUGGCUAAAGCUGCUGGCUAAGUUGGCAAAGCAGAGAGGUAAACGUUUGGUCUAGGGACAAAGGAGGAGUGAGUGAAUGGGAAGGAACUGGCCAAACAGCACUUCCUGUUGGCAGUUGGUGAGCUGGGUGAAUAGUAGGGCAGGGUAGCACCAACAGAUUUCCCAGCCCUUGGGCCCCAGCUCAGGGCAGCAGUAACAGAUAAUCAGCAGUUAUGAGGAAUCAUCUCUCAGACUGGACAUUGCUCUAAACACCAUAUCUUGCCAGUCAUAGGGGAAGGGUUCUGGCUUGCCUUUGAACUAAGUCAGCAGGCAGGUGCUCUCAAUAUAGAACACAGCAAUUCUCAGGGAUAGGGUGGUAGAAUCUACCAGUGAAGGAGAGGACUCCCUCCAUUCAGGUAGGAGGGCAAAGGAUCAAAAGAGAAGUAAUUUUCUAUCAGGAUCUGGCACUCUCCCUGAGCCGGCGGUAGAUCUAGCCCAGAGCUUGCCAGAGAUUCCCUAUGUCCACUGCCCGACUCUGAAAUCUGAAAGCACCUGAGUGUUUGGGGGGCAGGCAUGGGGUGGGUUGAUGUAAAAGGAGGAAAAUCAGUAGAAGAGAAAGGUAAGCUUGCCAAUUGCCUUCUUAUACUCUGGGAAAGCUAUGUCCUUGUAGAGCUCAGCCCCCACAACCAGCUACUCUGCCAAGGACAGAUCUUUAGAUUCUGCCCAGCCAACAGCUCCACAUGGCCUUGAUGCAACCCCCUCUCACCUAUAGAGGAGACCUCCACAUAAGGGUGUGUGCAUAAAUGUGCACACUCAACCAGGAGACACUUACUCAACACAACCACUUCUGGGGCCACAGAGGACAUUACAAAAUGAGUCUGUGGAGCCCCAGGGCCCCUCAGAACUUCCUGUUAUUUCCUGGUCAAAGGUUCAUGAAAACAGCCUGGGAACCCAGGCAGGCAUGUUAGGCUCACAGGGAUCAGGUCUUCUUUAUCUCUGUAUCUCCUGUCAGUGACUAGCACCUGGCCUAGCACAUGUGAAUGCUCAAGAAAUCACCACUGAUAUGAAUAGAUGUCAGUUCCUCCCAAGUGUUCAUCAGGGCCCUCAAUGGGGCUCCAUAGAACUAGAGAAAUAGCUUCAAGAGGCCCUCUAGCUUCCAACCUAACCAGUGGAAUUGAAUCCCAUGCUUGACUCCAGAGUGGACUUUUUAUUUCAAGUUACCAUGUGUAAAGGUUGGAGGAAAAAGACCCAAGUCUGUCUGUCUCCUUGGUUGGGGCCCACUUGGAUUUCCAUACAUGGUUUACACAACCACAUGCCCCCACUGGCUAAUGUCACAAGAGUUCUGAGUGUUGGGAUAUAAGGAAAGAAUAACAGUGGGAAAGUGUUGGGGUCUGUUUUUUUAAGAGGGGAAAAGAAAGAUGAUUUCCCUUCCCCAAGAACCCUGGGGGCAGCUGGUCUGGUCAUGUGACAUUUACUCGUAUUAUUUCUGUUCUGACUCUGCACACUUGUGACUGGAAGGAGCCUGGUUAAGAGCUGGAAGUGUAUUUUGCUCUGGUUUAGGGUCUUGCCCUCUUCCAAGAGACCAGCAAGUCUGUGCCAAUGUCUGUGUGCUCCCAGAGGACCAGCAAGACGGUGAUAUUGUCUGUCCAGCCACUAUGGGCCAGAGCCCUGGCCCUGGUGAGGCCUUUCCCAGGGCCCAGGGACUCUGCUCUGCGGUUGCCAACUUCUUCUCUUCAGUACAGAGGGAGGAUGGGGCCUUCCCAAGAGGCCUGAAGGAUUGCCCAUUCUUGGCAGCAAGUCCAGGUAGUUGCUGGCCUCCAGCCAUCUGCUUCACCUGCUUCAUCAGGCCCGGUGCUUGACUGGGAGGCCCUGGUGUCUGCUCCACCCCUGCAGAUGCUCUUCCUGAGGCCGGAGUUGUUGGCUCAUAUAAAAAAGCCUUGGCAGGAGCCUGAGAGAGAAGUCUGGCCUGGGUGAGUGAUUUAACCGCUUGCCAGGGGUGCUCCGAAGGGACUGCUGCUUUCCCUGGUGGCUGCAGGAUAGGAUCUGCCACACUGCCUCUCUCUACAGCUCUCGGCAUCUGCCCUAGACCUUUGCUGGCAGUCCAUGAGCUUGAUUCCAACACCGGCAUCUUCUCAUCAAUCUGUGAUGUGACCUCAUGAGGUGAAGCAGCCCGUUCUUUCUGGUGAGGAGUUAGGUCCAUGAGAUCCAUUACCAAAGCAGCUCUAUUUUUUGACUGAGUAUUCUGGUCCACGGGCCUCAGUGCUUUUUCUUUAGCUACCAGGGUCUGGACCACAGCUGAUAGUACUUUGUCAGGAGGUGGGAGUCUCUGGGACAAAGAAGCAUGGGAUUUGUCUGGGGGCCUGUCUGAAGUCUGGGGUUUGGGACCACUGGUGACUAGCAGUCUGUCUGGAGGUGGAAGUCUUAGACCAGUAGGGACUGGGGCUUUCUCCAGUGACUGGGGCCUUGGGCUGGCAGCACCUAUGGAUUUAUCCAGCCUUGGGUCAGCUGUCCCCAGAGGUCUUUCCAGUGGUUGGGACCUGACUGAGGGUGAGGAGCUUAUGCCGGUCACUGGAGAGGGUUUGUCAGAUAGUUGGGGUCUUGGUCCUGCCACUGCAGGUGGCCUGUCCAGUGGCUUCUGGCUGGAUACCAAGGAUUGGGGUUUGGUCCCCGACCCAGCAAGGUCCCUGACCCUAUCUACAGGCUGGGGCCUGGAGUCAGUUCUGUCAGGAGGUCUUUCAGGCAGCGGUGGCCUCUGACAAGUUCCUGCCAGAGCUUUUUUGGACAGUGACAGUGUCUGGUUGGUGUCAGCAGGCAGCUUAUCCAACAUCUUGGGCCCCUGAGCAGCCACUCCUGAUGAAUGCUCUGCCAGGUGAGUGCCUGGGCCUGGAGGCAGCGGUACUGGGGGAGGCACAUACUCACGGAUCUCCCCAGGUUCCAGAGGGUUGGGCCCGCAGGGGUCAUGCUCAGUACAAGACAAACGCCCAUCCAACUUGGAGAUGAAGAGCAUCCCUUCCCGAUGCUGCUUACAAAAGGAACUGGGACACAUCUCACAGAAGGAGGCUGCUUCCUUCCCACAGAUGUCACACUGAUGCCAAGGACACUCCCAUUUCCCUGAAAACACAGAUGUGAAACAAACCCUUAGGAAAAUAAGCAAGAAAGGAAACAUGGUUUAGUGGCCUUGAGGUCAGAAAACCUGGCUUUCAAUCCAGCUCCUCCAUCUAUAUGCUCUAUUGUGACAAUUCAUCUCACCAAACUGGACUCUCAGUUUCCUCAUCUGCAUCAUGGGAAGAAUGAGAACAUGAACCAUACCCCCUCAACGCUAUGCUUGGGAAGACCAAGGGGCUGUUACAAUUACGGCAGAGAACAAAGAGCACCCUAAAUGGAUUUUAGCACCAACCUGCUGGUCGCUUGGUUAGAUUGAGACAGUCAGCGUGGUAAACUUUUGGGCAGCCUGGCUUCUUGCAAGAGACGAGCUGGCCAGCAUCCCCACAGCUGAAACACUCAUCCUCUCUUUCCUUUGUGAUUUCACCCUGGGUCCUGCGCUUCCCCUGUUGCUUCUUCUUGAAUUUCUUUGACUUUUCUUCCGUGGCAAUGGGUUGAUUCUAGAGGUCAGAUAUUGAGCAGUCAGCAUUCUGUCGAUACAUUAGUUGUAUGAUCUUGACCAGGUUAACUAUUCUCUCUGAGCCUCAGUCUCUCCUCUGGGAAGAGACAAUCCUCAUAGACUGUUGUAAAGAUAAGAGAAAAUACAGAAAAGGCACCUGGCACAUCAUAGGUACCCAAUAAAUAGUUGCAUUAAUUCUAACUUUUCUAUGAACUACUCCUGCCACCUGCAUGAAAUAAGAGAAAUAAACUUUUUUGUUAACAUACAA